GAUGAAGAACGUAGCGAAAUGCGAUAAGUAAUGUGAAUUGCAGAAUUCAGUGAAUCAUCGAAUCUUUGAACGCACAUUGCGCCCGCCAGUAUUCUGGCGGGCAUGCCUGUUCGAGCGUCAUUUCAACCAUCAAGCCCCCGGCUUGUGUUGGGGACCUGCGGCUGCCGCAGGCCCUGAAAUGCAGUGGCGGGCUCGCUGUCACCCCGAGCGUAGUAGUUACAUCUCGCUCUGGGCGUGCUGCGGGUUCCGGCCGUUAAAAGCCUUAUUUACCCAAGGUUGACCUCGGAUCAGGUAGGAAGACCCGCUGAACUUAAGCAUAUCAAUAAGCGGAGGA
rnacentral:misc_RNA from 1 species